AAUGCGAUAAGUAAUGUGAAUUGCAGAAUUCAGUGAAUCAUCGAAUCUUUGUACGCACAUUGCGCCCGCCAGUAUUCUGGCGGGCAUGCCUGUUCGAGCGUCAUUUCAACCAUCAAGCCCCCGGCUUGUGUUGGGGACCUGCGGCUGCCCGCAGGCCCUGAAAAACAGUGGCGGGCUCGCUGUCACACCGAGCGUAGUAGCAUACAUUCUCGCUCAGGGCGUGCUGCGGGUUCCGGCCGUUAAACGACCUUCAUAACCCAAGGUUGACCUCGGAUCAGGUAGGAAGACCCGCUGAACUUAAGC
rnacentral:misc_RNA from 1 species